rnacentral:ribozyme from 1 species
UCGUGUCUCCUUCGACGACCUCAAAACGACAACCUGGAAUUGUCAGACAUGCUUCUCACGGAAACGGUGACCUAUUUUGCAAUUGAACCAUUGCGCAAUUCUGCCCUCGACGUCGAUAUCAAAACGGAUUUCAUUCGCCACCUCUAUCUCUCCAUGUUUUACAGACGCAU